AAAGGUCCGAGGUUGGACUCGAGUCACUGAGACUGUGUUGGCUGUACCAGGUAAUUUGAAAGGUAAAAUCGCUCGUAACAAAAAUUGGGGCGCUAAAAGGACUUUAUUUCAAUUACCCAAAGGGUUUCUAACCGGGAUUUUUUUUUGCUGGUAUGGUUGUUUUUUUUCUGGUGUGGGUGCAUUUAGUUCUCGAUUGCCCAUUAGGUGGUUUUCGCCGAUUAGGCAGGCGAAAAUAAAAAAUAAUAAGUUUUCACGUGAAGGAUAGGGGUAUACUUUUUAAAACGCCAUUAGCGAGUCCUUUCAUAUGUUGUAUAGAAAUCGGUCGUUCGAAAAUACCUGAUAUGGAUGCAAAUUGCAAAUAAAAGAGCUCGUCUGGAUAAAAUAUACGAGCAGAGGAAGCAGUGUGAAAAACGAAAAGAGUUAGCAGGAAGGACUGUGGAAUCUUAUGAGAAAUUAGUAGAUUGAAGUAUAUCGUGUUUGGUACUUCUUUGAUACCUUGUUUGACAGAUGUUUUCAAUCAAAAACCAUUAGUUGCAGUUCGUACAUAUAUUCGGGAAAACCAAUUUUACCAAUAGCUCAACACAAUCUUCUACUUAGGUUAGGGGAAUAUCAUUUUCUAGUGUUAUUAGUAAUAUUUAUAAUUUGGGAAUCUAAUUUAAAGUCAUUUAUACUGUUUUUUUUAUAGGAAGUGAACAGGUUUUUUAUUUGAAUAAUAACCUAGUUUUUUUUAUUUCAAUAAAUCAUCCCCAUAUUUGAUAUAUCAGACUCAGAAAAUAACCUAAAUCAAAUAUAAAACAAUAAGUUUCAAAAUAAAAACUAAAAUAUCAAGGUAUCAUAUUAUGUAUCCUCUAAUUCUAAAAUUUAAAACAAGAAAAAAGUGAAGAUAGAAAA